CUUGAAGUUAACAUGUGGUUAUAAAAUAGGCUUGAAUGACGUUUUGGGAUUGUAGUGGAAGGUCGCAAUAUGCAUUAGCGACUUGAUAUUAAGAGUUCAGAGUAGUCAUUGAAGUGGUAAGGCAUGUUAUGCUUAGGAUGUGAUCUUUAAAAGAGGUAUAUAAGGUGGCAUCAUAUGGUUUAGAAUAAUAGUGUGGUGUAGCAUGUUGUAUUUUUG
rnacentral:lncRNA from 1 species